rnacentral:rRNA from 1 species
UGCAAGUCGGGCGGUAGCAGGGAGAAAGCUUGCUUUCUCCGCUGACGAGCGGCGGAUGGGUGAGUAAUGUCUGGGGAUCUGCCUGAUGGAGGGGGAUAACUACUGGAAACGGUAGCUAAUACCGCAUAACGUCGCAGGACCAAAGUGGGGGACCUUCGGGCCUCAUGCCAUCAGAUGAACCCAGAUGGGAUUAGCUAGUAGGUGGGGUAAUGGCUCACCUAGGCGACGAUCCCUAGCUGGUCUGAGAGGAUGACCAGCCACACUGGAACUGAGACACGGUCCAGACUCCUACGGGAGGCAGCAGUGGGGAAUAUUGCACAAUGGGCGCAAGCCUGAUGCAGCCAUGCCGCGUGUAUGAAGAAGGCCUUCGGGUUGUAAAGUACUUUCAGUAGGGAGGAAGGUGUGAGCGUUAAUAGCGUU